rnacentral:lncRNA from 1 species
GUCAUUGUACAGCACUGCUUAUAAUAAGGACCUUUAUCCUAUUUGUGAGGGGAAAAGCAUCUAUUUUGGUCAAUUACGACUCAAAUUUGGUUUGUUUUAACUUCUAUUUUGAAAUAACCACUUCACUUAGAGAUGAAGUCCAUGUAAUGUCAUAUCACUUUGUUCAUAUAUCAUAACACUUCAUAAGAGAAGUUUUACUGAAAUUAAAUACUUAAAAUAGUCUUAAUUACGUCAAAUUACUAACCAUCAUCUCAUACGAACAUACUACUAUAUCUACUAGAUUUUAGGGCCAAUUACAUAUAAGUCCACUUUGAGACAUUUUUUCCCACAUAGAUCCACCCCAACAUUUUUACCCACAUAAGUCCACCCAAGUCUAAAUAAGGUUUUGUAUUAAGUAUUGAAGUUCAACAUAAUUACAGACUGCCAUCCAACAAAAAAAAUUAGAUUUUCUCCUUUAUAUUUAUAAGAAUGCCACUAGUAUAAAAAGUCAACAACCACUCUUAUUUCGGAACAGUCUCCGGCGGACCUCCGGCGAGAUUUCCAGCGGACCUCCGGUGAGGUUUCCGGCCGACCUUCGGCGAGGUUUCCGGCCGACCUCCGGCGAGGUUUCCGGCCGACCUCCGACGAUGACAAAAAUUACUACUACCAGCUAAAAAAGCUACUACCACCAGCUACAAAAGCUACUACCACCGCCUACAAAAGCUACUACUGUGAGGUUUCUGAUGAAAACAAAAAGCUACUACCACCAGCGACAAAAGCUACUACCACCAGCUACAAAAGCUACUACCACCGCCUACAAAGCUACUACUGUGAGGUUUUCGACGAACACAAAACUACUACCACCAGCGACAAAAGCUACUACCACCAGCUACAAAAGCUACUACCACCGCUUACAAAAGCUACUACUGUGAGGUUUCCGAGGAACACAAAAACUACUAUCACCAACCACAAAAGCUACUACCACUAGCUACAAAAGCUACUACCACCGUCUACAAAAGCUACUACUGUGAGGUUUCCAAUGAACACAAAAGCUACUACCACAAACUACUACCACCAACCACAAAAGCUACUACCACAAGCUACAAAAGCUACUNNNNN